GUGUCAGCAGCCGCGGUAAUACGAAGGGGGCUAGCGUUGUUCGGAAUUACUGGGCGUAAAGGGCGCGUAGGCGGUCUUGUAAGUCAGAUGUGAAAGCCCCGGGCUCAACCCGGGAAUAGCAUUUGAUACUGCGAGGCUUGAGUCCGGGAGAGGAUGGCGGAAUUCCCAGUGUAGAGGUGAAAUUCGUAGAUAUUGGGAAGAACACCGGUGGCGAAGGCGGCCAUCUGGACCGGUACUGACGCUGAGGCGCGAAAGCGUGGGGAGCAAACAGGAUUAGAUACCCUGGUAGUCCACGCCGUAAACGAUGAGUGCUAGACGCUGGGGGGUUAACCCUUCGGUGUCGCAGCUAACGCAUUAAGCACUCCGCCUGGGGAGUACGGCCGCAAGGUUGAA
rnacentral:rRNA from 1 species